UCUUUCAGUUUGCAUAUAUGGUAUAUUAUAUGGACAGACUUUCAUAUGUUGAACCAUCCUUGUAUCUCUGAGAUGAAGCCUACUUGAUUAACAUGGAUGAUUGUGUGAUACGUUCUUGAAUUCAGUUUGCUGUGUCCCAGGGAUGGUGUCAAGGGGCAGGACUCUUUGGGUAUGGAGCCUCAAUAUUCUUUCAGUUAACUCCUGGCCACAGGAACCAGAGAGGUGAACAUCGACCUUCAUUAAGGGGUAUUAUUGGCAUUGUUGCCCAAUGUCUGAUGGGGCUGAUUGCAGUAAUAUUUGUACUGGUUAUCCUAUCCUGUGGCACAGCCGUCGUGGCAGGGAGCCACAAAUUGAGAACAACGUUAAACAGAUGGACAAUGAGCCAAUCAACCUCAAUGAGCCAACCAACCUCAAUGAGCCAACCAACCUCAAUGAGCCAACCAACCUCAAUGAAACCUCAAAAGCAGCCUCAAAUGUGAAACCUCAAAAGAAAAAGAAGGCAAAAGUAAAUUCUCAAUCAAAGUACCAUCCCAGAACCAGUUAGAAAACAGCUAAUAUGAUGGGGUAAAAGGAUCAAAGGCUAAGAGGGGCUGGUUAGAUUGGAAAAGGAGGCAGCACCAAGAAAGGCAGUGGCAGCCAUGGUGUGAAUGCACAGCAAGGACACCAAGCAGCUCCCAGGAAACAUUGGCUGCCAGGGUCCUUCCCAACUGAGGAACCAAACAACAGUGACAGUG